rnacentral:misc_RNA from 1 species
UCGAGUUGGGGUCCUCUGGGCCCAAUCUCCCACCCAUGUUUAACUACCAUGUUGCUUUGGCGGGUCGCGGCGACUCGUUCGCCCCGCCGGCUACGGCUGGUGCGUGCCCGUCAGAGGUUUUUACCAAAACUCUUUGCGAAUUGUCAAGUCUGAACCACAAAAAAUAAGCACA